GCGUUGCCUGCACCUGUGGGAGGGGUCGAGGUGGGCGGCUGUGACCACGGGGGGUGUGGGUGGAGAAACCGGGGGCUGUGGAUGCCACUAAAAGUCGCCUCCAGGCCCUCCUUCACCCUGGACAGUCAUCCUGCCCCUCCCACUCCCCAAAACAGGGCAGCAAAGAGGAAGGGAUGCGGGAAGAGCAGAAGGGGGAAGUCCCCAGCUCUGCCGGGUCCCAAGAUCACCAACCGUGAGAGAUGCUCGUGCCAUCCAGCCCCCAGAAGAUGUCACUUGUCUCUCCCAGCUACGCUCCAGGGAGAAGGACAGCACUGCACAGACUGGACAUAAGUGUGCAAGGAGUGGGCCCCAGCCCCUGCACAGGAGGAGCCGACGGGGGAACAGGAGACGUCAGGACUGCUUGGGACGGGCUGAGGUUCAUGUGCAGGAGGCAGGCACUGCCCUGGGCGGAGGCUGCUUUCCGGCUGGAAGCGGCAGCUCCCUGGCCAACACCCGGCCAGAUUCUGAGCCUUCUCCACCUGCCAGGUGGACCUUCAGAAGCUCUAUGCCGAUGAGCUGGUGGGUGGAGGGCUCCCCUGGCCCUCAGUUCUCCACUGUUGCGUAGGGAGAGAGAGAAAGAGGAAUCUGCUCCCGACCUUCCUGGGCCAGGGAGCCCCAGAACCACGGCUCCUUUUCUGUGAACAGUACCAGGGGUCCAACUUGCUCACCAACGGAGUGUUCACUUGGGGCACUCCCCGUGCUCAGCAAGGCCCCACACUUGGUUUAACAUGCUGCUGCCAUGGUCUCGAAAUUCUUAACAAUUGUGGAACAAGGGGCCCUGCAUUUGCAUUUUUCACCCAGACCGUUACAACGUACGUAGCCGGUCCUGCCUGCCAGACAUGCGUGUUACAGCUGCGUCCAGCUGGCCACAUCACUCCACACUGCGCUCCGCCCCCAACGCUGCAACAGUCCCCAAAAGCCUGAAGCCGCAGACUCAUCCACUCUCCAGGCCGGCUCUCCGGGCUGUGGGCACACGUGAGAUUGCCCUCUGUACGUGAGGGACCAGGAACCUCAGGGUGCGGGUAUCAGCCUCUCCUCACUAGGCAGCCCCCACCCCACCAUCCUCAGGAGCCCCCUGGGCCGGACGGCGGGUCCCCUGGCUAAGCUGAACUCCAAUGGGACACUGAAAUGCCAGCCUCUCCCUCCUGCCGGCUCCCUUGAUUCCUGAACAAGGGAUUCCUUCAUCCUUCCGGGGUCCCUGCCCUUCCUUCCAGCUCUGCUGCAGACGUGAGGGAAGAUGCUCUCUCCCUCAAAUCUGUGCAGUCCCCAAGGCUCUCCCCCACCGGCCCCCACCUCUUCUCCUCUGCACGUGGGCGAGGGCCUUUGGGGAGGAUGUGGGUCUGACAGGGCCCGGCCGUGAGCCCUGCAGUGACAAGGAGGUCUGGGAGGGUCUGCCACUCGACUAGCCUGUGGGAGACCCAGCCCCUUGGGACAGGCAAGUCCCCACCAGACAGCCGGCAACAGAGCAGCGACUGCUCUGAAGAAGGUGCCAGAGGGGAUGUGGCAGAGAAGAGGACACGCUGUCGGGACGGUGGCCAUUCCAGUGGAAGAGGCCGAGGACGACCAGGAGGACCAGUCACCAGUAAUAAAAAAAGUUGCACGAAACGUGGGUUUCGACCUGGUUCUCAAGAGGCGACCUGAGGAAGUAGAUGAAACUGACCAGA